UCCCUCUUAGCUCAGUGGUAGAGCGCUUCACUAGUAUACACGAUUGCUAUAGAAUAUGAAGAGGUCAGUCGUUCAAGUCGGCUAGAGGGAA